GUUCCUGAUCAUAGGAUUGCCAAUUGGGCAUUGACAGUCCAUUAAGAUCAGUACGUGCUGUGUCUUCUCUCAGGGAGAGUGACUAGUCUCGAGUCAUUGUUGUGUGUGACAUCAAGACAAGUACGUAGGUGCUCAAUAGAGAAUGACUUCACUAAACACGAUCAACGAAGACUUCUCAUAUUCAUGUCACAUGAGAACUCAUGGUUGGGAUAAUGCAAAGUAGUCAUUUGACCUGAGGCAUCAUAGUUGUCUUGUGGUUAAGUCCUUGAUCUUUGAUUAUGUCAAAGUCGCUCCAUCAGGAGGGUGUCCACAGCAUAGUUGGGGUUAAGCCACUUAGCUAUGCAGGCAAGUGAAUGCGCAACAAGGGAUCUCUAACCUUCAAACCGUUUGAGGGAGAAUACUCUAUGAUAUGAUUAAGAAUCUUUGGCCAGAGUAUGAAUGAGAUUUAGGAAAGUCGUUCCAAAUCACAUUCAAGGUAAUCAUAUAAGCACACGAAUUACAUUGGAUAGUAGACAUGAAUAAACUAUCAAACCAAACAAUGUGGUCAAGAGUAUUGUAUUAGAGAAAGACCGUAUUGCAUUUGUAAUCCUAAACUGAAUAAGUUCUCUACCUCUUCUGAUUAGCUUGGGUAACCAUGAUAUGCUGCUAGGUGUCACUCAUGGUUUAUGGAAGCCCUAAACGUGUAUAAUCACUAAAGGGAGAAUUGAAAGUAAGUUUCAAUUCACAAUCGAUUU
rnacentral:lncRNA from 1 species